CGGAGCUGCCCGGGCUGUGGCGCCAAUGGAGCCCGUCCUGACAGGUGUUUCAGCAUUUGUAGAAGUUUGGUCAUCUAACAGAACAGAAAAUUACUCAAAAACCUUUGAACAGCAACUUCUUGAUAUGGGAGCCAAAGUCUCAAAAACUUUGAACAAACACGUGACCCAUGUAGUCUUCAAGGAUGGACGUUUCACUACAUGGAAAAAAGCACAGAAGUUGGGUGUAAAAACAGUCUCUGUACUUUGGGUGGAAAAGUGUCAAGAAACUGGAGUACAUGUUGAUGAAUCCUUAUUUCCUGCAGUGGACACUAAUGAAGGAUUUCCACUACUGAUCAAAAAACACAAAUGUAUGCAGCCAAAAGAUUUUGUUGAAAAAACUCCAGAAAAUGAUAGAAAACUUCAGAGAAGACUGGACCAGAUGGCUAAAGAUUUAGCUCUACAAAAGACAGCAAUUAAUGAUGAUGUACCAGUUUUAUUGUUUGAAGACAAUGGUUCACUUAUAUACAGUCCUGUUAAUAAGAUGAAAGAUCAAUGCAAUGCAAUUGAAAGAGGAAUGAAGGAUAUGAAGAAAAAAAGAGAAAAUCUUUCUCCUACUGGAGAACAAAUGGAAGACUGCUUGAACUCAAGUUAUGAUUAUCUUUGGGGAACUGAGAAAUUAAAGAGGCAGAAAACAGAGAUGGUAGAACACUCCUGUGAUACUUGGACUGAUACUCUUGUAUCCACGAGUGCAUCAGUGAAGCCUCCAUCACAGGGCAAUGAGCAAAAGAGCUUAACACCAAAACGGCAUACCAGAAGUAGUUUAACAAAGAAACGGAUUAUACAGCACACUUUGGAUGACAAAUUGUCUUUAGAAAAGAAACAAUCAAAGUUUCCAAAGAAAAAUCAGAAGAAUGAAAAGAGCAAGACUACUGCAAGUGCAAAUGAAAGUUCUCUUCUCAGGGACUUCGAUUGUAUUACUCCUUCCAAAAAAUUAGUGCAACUAAAUACUGUUCCUUCUUUGAUUGACAAUCUCUCUAAUUCACCUAUGAAUAGUGAAGCCUUAAAUACACGUUCACUGGAUAAAAGCUUCCCUGUUGACAAAAAUGAUAGUAUUCUUGAAGUUAAGAAGAGGAAGGAACUACAACCAUUGCCUAGUUUGAAGAUGGUUACCUCAGAACUGGGUGCAUCAGGGUCUAAAGGGCUCUUGCAAGCAGUUACUACAUAUAGCAAGUCGUUUUGUACUGAAGAGGCUUCUUAUGAAGACUUCUUUUCAUCAUCUAAUUUAAAUGAAAAUGAAGUACCGAUAAGAGUACCAAAUGAAUCACAGAGUCGUCCUGAAGUUUGUUACAAAGACUCUUUUACAAGCAUGGACUUCUGCCGUGUGAGUUUCUCUAAGCCACAUACUACUACCAAGAAAAGUAGGAAAAGCUCUAUCUCAUUUAAUGAUUUUCCAGUAAAGAAAAAAUUCAGACCAGCUAAACGUCCUGGAAGCAUGUCAUUGAAUGUAUCAGAUGGCACUGCAGAAGUUCUAGAUUCUGAUGAUGUGAAUAGGCUGCCUCAGCAUGCUCAGGAAAACUCCUACAGAAACAAUGUGAAUUACUAUGCUCAUACUACUGGUAAUAAAAAUGAAGUUUCAGAGUGUCAUGUUACUGAUGGCUCUCGCAAAGUUUUUAAGGAAUGAAAGAACGCACUGGGGGAUUAAGAAAAGCUGGAAGACUCCAAAAGCUCCAAGAAACACCUACUCAAACUUGGAAGGAAGAAAAAAUACAUUUUGAGGUUGGACACCUUCUUUCUGGGGCUGAUUUACAUAUGUAAUGUGUAUUCUAUGCAAUAAUUGCAUAAUCCUUGUCACCAUUGUUUAACAUCUUCAUUUACAAUCUGGAUGAUCGGGAAGAGUGCACCCUCAGCAAGUUUGCAGAUGUUAGAAAACUGUGGAGGAGUGUUUCACACACCAGAUGGGUGUUCUU